AUGCACGCUGGCGGCGUGCCUCAUCCCUGCCAGUCGAGCGCACAGACGAGGAGCUUGCUCCUCUGACGUUAGCGGCGGACGGGUGAGUAACACGUGGAUAACCUACCUAUAAGACUGGGAUAACUUCGGGAAACCGGAGCUAAUACCGGAUAAUAUAUUGAACCGCAUGGUUCAAUAGUGAAAGACGGUUUUGCUGUCACUUAUAGAUGGAUCCGCGCCGCAUUAGCUAGUUGGUAAGGUAACGGCUUACCAAGGCAACGAUGCGUAGCCGACCUGAGAGGGUGAUCGGCCACACUGGAACUGAGACACGGUCCGGACUCCUACGGGAGGCAGCAGUAGGGAAUCUUCCGCAAUGGGCGAAAGCCUGACGGAGCAACGCCGCGUGAGUGAUGAAGGUCUUCGGAUCGUAAAACUCUGUUAUUAGGGAAGAACAAAUGUGUAAGUAACUAUGCACGUCUUGACGGUACCUAAUCAGAAAGCCACGGCUAACUACGUG
rnacentral:rRNA from 1 species